ACGGCGAGUGAAGCGGCAAGAGCUCAAAUUUGAAAGCUGGCUCCUUCGGGGUCCGCAUUGUAAUUUGUAGAGGAUGCUUCGGGAGCGGUCCCCAUCUAAGUGCCCUGGAACGGGACGUCAUAGAGGGUGAGAAUCCCGUAUGGGAUGGGGUGUCCGCGCCCGUGUGAAGCUCCUUCGACGAGUCGAGUUGUUUGGGAAUGCAGCUCUAAAUGGGUGGUAAAUUUCAUCUAAAGCUAAAUAUUGGCCGGAGACCGAUAGCGCACAAGUAGAGUGAUCGAAAGAUGAAAAGCACUUUGAAAAGAGAGUUAAAAAGCACGUGAAAUUGUUGAAAGGGAAGCGCUUGCGACCAGACUCGCUCGCGGGGUUCAGCCGGCAUUCGUGCCGGUGUAUUUCCCCGCGGGCGGGCCAGCGUCGGUUUGGGCGGUCGGUCAAAGGCCCUCGGAAGGUAACGCCCCUAGGGGCGUCUUAUAGCCGAGGGUGCAAUGCGACCUGCCUAGACCGAGGAACGCGCUUCGGCUCGGACGCUGGCAUAAUGGUCGUAAGCGACCCGU
rnacentral:rRNA from 1 species